ensembl:lncRNA
CCAGUAAUCUGCACCCUCUAGACUCGGCCUCCUGGAGCUCCGGUACUUCCCGGGAGUCAUUUCAUUUAUGAAUCUAUUAAUAGAUUAAUCCAUCGAUGGGAUCAGAGCCCUCUUGACCCCACCUCCCCACAGCCUUCUAAACAUUGUUGCCACGGGGACCAAGCCACCAACAUACGAGCCUGUGGGGGGCUCCGGGUUCCAACCGUGGCAGCAGCGAAGGAGGAGUGGUAGGGGCUGCUUCUCGAACAGAAUCGGUGACACUGCCUUCUGUGAGGGCUCGCAGGGGUCUGGCUGAUGGGAACUGCAGAGACCAGAGUAACUGGAGACAGAGUUCUCUUCGGUUCUGGAGGCUGAAAGCCCAAGGUCAAAAUGUCAGCCGCCCAGGUUUCUUCUGAGGCCCAUCUCCUUGGCGUGUGCAUGGCCAUCUUCUCCCUGCUUCUUCACAUGUCCUUCUGUGUGUGUCUGUGUCCUAAUCUUAGGAGGACACACGUCCUGGUGGACCGAGGCCUGCUGUAAUGAGCUCAUUGCACCUUCACUACUUUUUUAAAAGAUUGUCUCCAAAUACAGACACAUUCUGAACUACCGUCCUGGAGGUCAGGGUCCCGACGUGUGAAUCUGUGGCGGAUGCAGUUCAGUGCCUAACAGGUAGUCACACUCCCACUCUUCCCAGUCUCCAUCCAAACACAGACUCAGCAGUCUGUCAGAGAAAGGCCACGGCCCUAAUCAUUUUCCCAUUGCUGGGGAAAAACGCCCACCACUCCCAACUUAGAGGGCAGAGCUUGAUUUCCACUCACAGUUUCAGCACAUGGUCGGCUGCUCCGAGGCGGGUAGGAUGGCAGCCCGACAUGGCAGAGGAGAAGCUGCUCGCCUCAUGGCAGCCAGGAAGUCGCAAGAGAAGGGAGAAGCCUUGCACAGGAACACAGCCCUCCAGAUGCAGAGAAUGAGGGCCAGAGCAGAAAAGUAAAGACCUACUUUGUCUACUCUGUCAGCUGAGAAAUGAAAGCCAGAUGCAUCUAGCGCAUGGUGAGACACAGAGAGUAAAGUGGACACGUGUAAGCAGGGAGGUCAGCGGUGAAUUUUGGAGGAAGGAGUUUCUAUGAGACAUUCAAGGUACGAACCUCAUACACAUAGAGCACAGGAUUCACCUCACUCAUGAGCGAGGAAGCCAGCAGGAGACCAGAGACUGGUUCUCUGACUGUUGGAAGGAGAAGUGGAAGCGGGUGUGCAAAGCUGGACGAGCAGUAGGAGCAGACUCCGGG